AUUGAACGCUGGCGGCAUGCCUUACACAUGCAAGUCGAACGGUAACAGGUCUUCGGAUGCUGACGAGUGGCGAACGGGUGAGUAAUACAUCGGAACGUGCCUAGUAGUGGGGGAUAACUACUCGAAAGAGUGGCUAAUACCGCAUGAGAUCUACGGAUGAAAGCAGGGGAUCGCAAGACCUUGUGCUACUAGAGCGGCCGAUGGCAGAUUAGGUAGUUGGUGGGAUAAAAGCUUACCAAGCCGACGAUCUGUAGCUGGUCUGAGAGGACGAUCAGCCGCACUGGGGCCGAGACACGGCCCAGACUCCUACGGGAGGCAGCAGUGGGGAAUUUUGGACAAUGGGCGCAAGCCUGAUCCAGCAAUGCCGCGUGCAGGAUGAAGGCCUUCGGGUUGUAAACUGCUUUUGUACGGAACGAAAAGCCCCGGGUUAAUACCCUGGGGUCAUGACGGUACCGUAAGAAUAAGCACCGGCUAACUACGUGCCAGCCGCCGCAGUAA
rnacentral:rRNA from 1 species